UAGGGAAUCUUCCACAAUGGGCGAAAGCCUGAUGGAGCAACGCCGCGUGUGUGAUGAAGGGUUUCGGCUCGUAAAACACUGUUGUUAAAGAAGAACACGUAUGAGAGUAACUGUUCAUACGUUGACGGUAUUUAACCAGAAAGUCACGGCUAACUACGUGACAG
rnacentral:rRNA from 1 species